rnacentral:rRNA from 1 species
CGGAGGCAGCAGUGGGGAAUCUUGCGCAAUGGGCGAAAGCCUGACGCAGCGACGCCGCGUGGGGGACGAAGGCCCUCGGGUUGUAAACCCCUUUCGGCAGGGACGAAGCGAUCGUGACGGUACCUGCAGAAGAAGCUCCGGCUAACUACGUACCAGCAGCCGCGGUAAGACGUAGGGAGCGAGCGUUGUCCGGAUUCAUUGGGCGUAAAGAGCGCGCAGGCGGUUCGGAAAGUCGGAUGUGAAAACUCGGAGCUCAACUCCGAGCGUGCAUCCGAAACUUCCGGACUAGAGGUAGGUAGGGGAGAUCGGAAUUCCUGGUGUAGCGGUGAAAUGCGCAGAUAUCAGGAGGAACACCGGUGGCGAAGGCGGAUCUCUGGGCCUUACCUGACGCUCAGGCGCGAAAGCUAGGGGAGCGAACAGGCUUAGAUACCCUGGUAGC